UUCAGGUGGCUGAUGGAGGAAUUCCGUUGACUUGAGCUGCAAUGGAGCCUGAAAGGCAGUGGAGCCAAUAGAAGUAAAGCUGGUAGCUUAUAGCUGACUUGUAUUCAAAUCUUGGAAGAUGGAUGACCGCGCGCUGUGAGAUCUACUACAUUGAGAAGACCUCAUCGCCAAUCUAUAGCUGUGGAUUACCUCAUCACAUCCUCAUAAUAUUAUUAAUCGCAAAUGGAGUUUUCUUCAGGAAAGGCAAUCAAUCGGCAGUCGACAUUGAUGAAUUACGACCGAGACUAUAAACUGACUGAGACAAUAAAUGUAGACAUUUAUCAUUUUAUGUUUUUUCAUUCAUCUUAUUAUUUUCGUUUUAUGAUUUCUUCAUUUGUAAUAAAUUAAAUGUUAUUAGUUUUGGUUUCAUCAUUUUAUUUUUGUUUUAUCAUCAUUAUUAUUUUAUUUCAUUCAUCAUCAUCAUUAUUAGAUAGAUAUUGGAGUUCCAGAGUGGACUUUACUCAUUUCAUCAAAACUUGACCUUAUUGGUUAUGGUUUCCGAAAGAGUGAUAUUUUGAUGGCUAUGAAUUGUUUUUAAUUGUAUAAACUCAAUUCAUAAUUUU